UACGUAGGGGGCGAGCGUUGUCCGGAUUUAUUGGGCGUAAAGCGCUCGCAGGUGGUCCGAUGCGUCGUGCGUGAAAGACCCCGGCUCAACUGGGGGGCGUCGUGCGAUACGGUCGGACUGGAGGCCAGUAGGGGAUGCGGAAUUCCGGGUGUAGUGGUGGAAUGCGUAGAGAUCCGGAGGAACACCGGUGGCGAAGGCGGCCUGCUGGGCAGUUAGCUGACACUGAGGCGCGACAGCGUGGGAGCAACAGGA
rnacentral:rRNA from 1 species